rnacentral:rRNA from 1 species
AAACGACUCUCGACAACGGAUAUCUCGGCUCUCGCAUCGAUGAAGAACGUAGCGAAAUGCGAUACUUGGUGUGAAUUGCAGAAUCCCGUGAACCAUCGAGUCUUUGAACGCAAGUUGCGCCCCAAGCCUUCUGGCCGAGGGCACGUCUGCCUGGGUGUCAC